GUUGGGAACUGAACCCAGGUCCUCUGCAAGAGCAACAAAUGCUCUUAACUGCCGAGCCAUCUCUCCAGCCCAUAAAUAUUUAAACUCUUAUUUGGGGAGGAGCCAUCAUAGAGAGCAGCAAGAGCCUCAGCAGCAAGAUCACCAUGGGGGUGGGGGGUGAAUGUGGCCACGCUGAUGGGGCUCAGAGAGUGUAAAAUGGUCAGUUCACAGAUUGAACUGUGAGGUGGGAGCCAGGCUGAUAUACCUUUACCCACAUUGCCAGGAAGCAUGAAGGAGCUGUCUGGCAGAGGCCUUACAAAGAUCUGGAAAGUUUUAAGUAGUAUUAGUGCAGGGUGCAGGCCAGAGAGCCUGCACUAAUCAAGGUGUUGCUCCCCCCUCAACCCAUGGUUUAUUUUGUUUCAUUCUGAGGUUUUAUCUUUGCCUUGAUGGUACUUCAUGUUUUCCUAUAUUAUCAUUAUCGUGUGUAUGAACCAUGUAUACAUGCUCAGGUGCACGUCAAAGGGCAACCUUCAAGAGUCUGUUCUCUCCUUCCACUGUGGAUUCCAGGGAUGGAACUCAGGUAGUUAGGCUUGUAAAUACUUUCUUUACCCACUGGGACAUCUCACCAGGCCUUGCAUAUGUUCUUCUAUGUUGACUGUCAAGUGCAGUGCUCACUCUAUCUGCCGCUGGCUGUUUAAUUUCUACUAUUAGUGCUUUAGACACAGGGUUUCCCUGUGUAACAGCUCUGGGUGUCCUGGAGUUUGCUUUGUAGACCAGGCUGGCCUUGAACUCACAGAGAUCUGCCUGUCUCUGCUUCUGGAGUGCUGACAUUAAAGGUGUGCACCACCACAGCCUGGAUACUAUUAGCACUUUUAUAAAACUAUAAUUUCCGCUAUAAUAGUGUAUGUGUAUAAUAAACUCUCAGAAGAGCAUCAACACUACAAAGAAAAAUAUUUAUUGAGAUCACUGUUUUCUACUAACAUUAAUUUAGCAAGAAAAAUAAAAAAUCAGUUGAAACACAGUAAGAUGGCUAGAUACAAGAUCAGUAUACAAAUAUAAAUGGUUUUCCAUAUGAACAAUGAAUAUCAAUUAGAAAAUACAAUGGAAGAAGGACUAUUUAAAACUUGGUUAGCUGGGCUUAAUGGUAUGUGGUGAUAUUUUGUUUGUGCUCUAACAAAUAAAGCUUGCUAGAAGAUCAGAGAGUGGAGCUAGCCACUAGUUAACCAUAGAGGUCUGGAGGUCUAUACAGACAGACUGGAAGUGAUAUGGCUUGGUGGAGAGAGGAAUAUAAGGUGAGAGGAGACAGUAGCUCGCUCCUUUUAUCAGCUGAGGAGUUAGCAAGUAAGAGUUGGCUGUGGCUUAUUCCUUUGUUUCUCUAAUCUUUCUGCAUUUCCCCCAUAUCCAGCUCCGGGAUUUUAAUAUUAAGACCAAUUAGAACUCGUGCAACAGUGGCUCACACCUUUAAUCUCAGCACUCAGGAGGCAGAGGCAAGCGGAUUUUUGUGAGUUCAAAGCCAGCUUGAUCUAUAUAUAUCGAGUUCCAGAAAAGCCAGGGCUACAUAGAGACACCUAGUCUCAAACAAACAAAAAAUGGUAUAAAACAGUCUAAGUGUGACAGCAAACACUUAUAAUUCUAGCACUUGGGAAGCAGAAACAGGAGGAUCAGUAUUUUGGGGGUAUUAUAAUCUAAUUACAUUUCUCCCUCUCCUUUCUUCCCUCCAAACCCUUCAAUAGACUCUUCUCUACUCUCCUUCAAAUUCACGACCUCCUUUUCCCCUUGGAGGAUCAACUUCCUAAGAUCAUCAUUGGUUUCAUGUUGAGUUGAAGACCAGUCUGAGGAUCACAGCCUGUCCCACCAGGUUUCAAGCCAGCACUUUACCAAGUGUCUCAUGUAGGCUGGCCUCAAAUCCACUAUGUGGCUGAGUAUGACUUAGAACUUCUGAUCUUCCUGCCUUGGAAUUACAGGUCUGUAUCACAGUGCUUGGCUUUUUGGGCUGCUGGGAUCUCAAGGGAGUAAUGCAUCAGAAUCCAGCAGGCACUGGGCUGAAGACAUAGCUAUACACAAAGGUCUGAAUUCAAUCUCCAGCAUCCCAUAAAAACAGAUGUGGUAGUGCACACCUGUAAUUCCAGUACAUGGGAGGAGGUAAAGGUAGGAAGAUCAGAGGGCCAAGAUCACCUUUAGUUCCAUGGGGGCUUUGAGGCCCACCUAGAGUACAUAAGAUAUUAUGUUUUAUCUUUCUGUUGUUUCUUUGUUUGUUUUUGAAGAAUUCAACAGGUGGAAAAAGAUCCAAAGAAACAGAAAAGAAGGUCUGAAAUAGCCAUAGUACUGGUAAGAAAUUGAAGGGCUCAUUGGUUUGUUUGGUUUGGGGAUAGAACCCAGGACUUCAUGCAUACUAGGCAAGUGCUCUACCACUGAGCUACCUCCCCAGCUGAGCUGCCAGCCUAGCCUGUAAGUGAUUUUUGUAGAAGAAAUUACUCUACUAUUGUAGCUCUACUGCAAUGAUUGCACUAAUUAACAUCAAUUUUAUGAAGCAAGUGUUUUUUUAUACUUAAGUCUACAACUUGCAAAAAUGGGGCAGUCAUUCUCAUCUAUACAACUGUUACUUGAAUGAGGAUGUGGAAAGUGAUCUCAGUGUAGCCAAUGGGAAGUCUAAGUUUGAAACAUCUGGGAGCUUGCAUAUAUGCAUGACUGAGUGCCUCUGUUGUGACCGUGGGAAUGGGAGCUGCUGAAGCUAACUGGAGAUUAUGAUCUUCUUUGCAAGAAUGGGCAUGCACAGUGAGCCACAGUACCAAUCAAAACAAAACUGGUGUCUAGGAUGUAACAUUUGGAACCAUCCCAAUGUCAAUCAAAACAAAUGCCAAGGUGUUACGUUGGAUUCAAGAAUAAUGGACAGAAAAAGAACCGGUUAUCAUGACAAGCCAUGAACUAAAACAGCUGGUAAAGACAGAGAUUGGCUGGGUGUGAUGGGUUAGGCAUGAUGGCUCACACGUUUAAAUUCCGGCAUUCAGGAGGCAGAGGCAGGCAGAUCUCUGUGAGUUCAACGCCAGUUUGUUUAAGUAGUGAGUUCCAGGA